CAAACCAUAACACUGAAUUCAGCCCAGGCCAUGGGGGAGGUCCAGCGCAAGGCCAUGGCCACAGGACUUCCCUGGAAUGUGAACCAGCUGGAGUUUCCUCCAGUUUGGACUGAAACACCUCCAGUUCCAGAUCCUCCAUUUACUGAUUGCAUAAUGAUAAUUGCAUAAUAAUAAUUUCCUCCAAUUAUUUUUCUCCACAUUGUUCCAUGUUCUUAUCUGUGAAGCAGGAAUAUUUCCUGCCUAGAUAUCACCUACCAUCCUCAGGAAGAUCAAGUGAUAUGGUGCCUGUAGAGUCGCUGCACUAUCCCCUGUCCUGGGGCAAACGCACAAUUAGUGGUGGCUGUCUGCAGUUCCUGUAGAACUUCCCAUAAGUGGUAGGCAUGAGGGAGCGUUCAUCAAGGGGAAAGCUGAUAUUUGGUCAUCCAGGCAGGCAGGCAGCACCAGUUACAGCUGUCAACAGGUAACCAGGCUACAGCAAUGAGCCCAGAGUGGAAAGACCAGAUGCCACUCUCAGCAGAGGGUGGACAGAUAAAACUGACCUAGCAUAGGGGCAGAAAAGAGCCCCGGGCUCAGAUGGAUGGAGUAAUAGGCAGGAUUCAACAGCGAGCACUCAACUCCAGGAAAUAAGACAGGAACGCAGCUAGCAAAACUGGUAGACAAAGUGACACUGGCAUUUCAGCUACAAGGCACAGAACAGAACUGAAGAACAGCAGCAAAGGGGAAUGGAUUGAUGUCCAGUCACGAAGUAUCUGGUCUGAGAUUUGACAACCACCACAUGCCACCCCUACCUAACCCCAAUUAUCUGACUGUUGCUCCCUAAGCCAAAAUAGGGAAAACUGAUGAAGAUCAUGGAUUUUAUUUUUCAGUUUUACCUUUGUUUAUUUAUUUUGAAAAUAAAGCAUAUGUAUUUGAUUUUAAAAAAAAUCACAUAGAGAGGUAUGUGGAAAGUCUGGAUUCUAUAGGUCUCUCCAUUUCAUUCUUUUCCACCCUCUAGAGAUAAUCACCACCAACAGGGAAUCACCCUUCCAUUCUCUCUCUCUCUCUCUCUCUCUCUCUCUCUCUCUCUCUCUCUCGACUUGGAAUAUCUUAUAGUGUCUCCACCCUGUAGAACUUUUUUCUAUAAAGCAGGAGUCUUUGUUCUGUUUUGUGGACACAUAUUACUUUAAUGGGUGGCGUCUGGUAGUUGUUUGGAAUAAGAUCUCUACUGCUAAACACUUUACGGGUUGUUCCUAAUCUGCUGUUACAAUGUCACAAGACAUGGCCUGGGAUGGGACACAUGAUAUUUUGUACUUUUACGAGAGAUAGCAGGAUGAAAACUUAGAAGCACAGUGUCUGGGUCAAAGGGCACGUUCACUGAUAAUUUUGUUAGUUAUUAUCAAAUCUCUCCAAAAGAGUUGAUCCAUUUUUCACUCUUCCUAGCAACACCUGAGAUGCCUGUUCCCCACAGCCUCGCCAACAGAGGGUGUUAAACUUCUGGACUGUAGCCAGCUUGGCAGAAAGGUUGUAAAUUUGAAGUCUAAUGUAAGGCAAGUUGUACUUUUAUAAAAACUCCCACUAAGCAAUGCUUUAUUAUUUGAAUGGUCCUUGUUCCUCCGUUCUUUCCUUUGGUCUUAAAAAAAAAAAAAAAAAAAAAUCCUCUUAGCCCAGACCAUUUUAUAUUUAGUCAUGCAGGCUUAGUUA
rnacentral:lncRNA from 1 species